UUGCAAUGGACAAGAGAAUUUACCAACUGAUUGGUGCCGAUUACCCUGGCAACCACACUGAAGAUGUCAAGAACCCAGGGUUGUGGCGAAUGAUCGGUUUUUCUAUUUCUUGGGCUCUUUAGUGUCGUUCUGCUUUGUAAGGUAUUGCGAUAUGUGAGUUGAAUUUGGGAUAAUUUUGAAUCUCAUAGGUGUGGUAUGGUAUUUUUGGUGAUCAAUUCUGGUUUUGUUGACGUUGCAUUAUUGACUGGGGGGUUUGGUUUGUGCUUAAUUGCAAUGGACGAGAGAAUUUACCAACUGAUUGGUGCCGAUUACCCUGGCAACCACACUGAAGAUGUUAAGAACCCAGGGUUGUGGCGGAUGAUUGGUCUUUCUAUUUCUUGGGCUCUUUAGCAUUGUUUUGCUUUGUAAGGUAACUGUUGUUUUAAUGAACAAUGCUGUUGUUACCUUUCUUGA